rnacentral:rRNA from 1 species
GAUGAACGCUGGCGGCGUGCUUAACACAUGCAAGUCGAACGAUGAAGCCCAGCUUGCUGGGUGGAUUAGUGGCGAACGGGUGAGUAACACGUGAGUAACCUGCCCUUAACUCUGGGAUAAGCCUGGGAAACUGGGUCUAAUACCGGAUAGGAGCGUCCACCGCAUGGUGGGUGUUGGAAAGAUUUAGCGGUUUUGGAUGGACUCGCGGCCUAUCAGCUUGUUGGUGAGGUAAUGGCUCACCAAGGCGACGACGGGUAGCCGGCCUGAGAGGGUGACCGGCCACACUGGGACUGAGAGACGGCCCAGACUCCUACGGGCGGCAGCAGUGGGGAAUAUUGCACAAUGGGCGCAAGCCUGAUGCAGAGACGCCGCGUGAGGGAUGACGGCCUUCGGGUUGUAAACCUCUUUCAGUAGGGAAGAAGCGAAAGUGACGGUACCUGAAGAUGAAGCACCGGCUAACUACGUG